AUUGAACGCUGGCGGCAGGCCUAACACAUGCAAGUCGAGCGGAUGAAGGGAGCUUGCUCCUGGAUUCAGCGGCGGACGGGUGAGUAAUGCCUAGGAAUCUGCCUGGUAGUGGGGGAUAACGUCCGGAAACGGGCGCUAAUACCGCAUACGUCCUGAGGGAGAAAGUGGGGGAUCUUCGGACCUCACGCUAUCAGAUGAGCCUAGGUCGGAUUAGCUAGUUGGUGGGGUAAAGGCCUACCAAGGCGACGAUCCGUAACUGGUCUGAGAGGAUGAUCAGUCACACUGGAACUGAGACACGGUCCAGACUCCUACGGGAGGCAGCAGGGGGGAAUAUUGGACAAUGGGCGAAAGCCUGACCCAGCCAUGCCGCGUGUGUGAAGAAGGUCUUCGGAUUGUAAAGCACUUUAAGUUGGGAGGAAGGGCAGUAAGUUAAUACCUUGCUGUUUUGACGUUACCAACAGAAUAAGCCCCGGCUAACUUCGUG
rnacentral:rRNA from 1 species